GGGCGAAUGGUUUAGUGGUAUAAUACUCCCUUAGCAUCAGCUGAAUUGGGAGUGGUCCAGGGUUCGAUUCCCUGUUCGUCCA
rnacentral:tRNA from 1 species